rnacentral:rRNA from 1 species
GACAGAGGUGGCAAGCGUUGCUCGGAUUCACUGGGCUUAAAGGGCGCGUAGGUGGUCUUGUAAGUCAAAGGUGGAAUUCCACAGCUUAACUGUGGAACUGCCUUUGAUACUGCAAGGCUUGAGUCAGGUAGAGGGAGGCGGAAUUCCCGGUGUAGCGGUGAAAUGCGUAGAUAUCGGGAGGAAGGUCGGUGGCGAAGGCGGCCUCCUGGGCCUGCACUGACGCUGAGGCGCGAAAGCGUGGGGAGCAAACAGG